rnacentral:rRNA from 1 species
UACAGAGGUCUCAAGCGUUGUUCGGAAUCACUGGGCGUAAAGGGUGUGUAGGUGGCGUGGUAAGUCAGAUGUGAAAGCCCGGGGCUCAACCUCGGAAUUGCAUCCGAUACUGCUAUGCUAGAGUAUUGAAGGGGAGUCUAGAAUUCACGGUGUAGCAGUGAAAUGCGUAGAUAUCGUGAGGAAUACCAAAGGCGAAGGCAGGACUCUGGGCAAUUACUGACACUGAGACACGAAGGCUAGGGGAGCAAACGGG